GCUUGAAUCCCAGCCCCCCCCCCCCAAAAAAUUAAAACGAUCCAUCAAACAAGACAAAUAAAACAUUUUUUAACCAAGUAAAGGCGAUUAAAAAGUACCCAGGAGCUCUAACAUUAGUACCGCAAGGGAAAAGUGAAAUAAAAGUGAAAUAAGUUUAAAGCAUCACAAAGUAGAGAUUUACCCUCGUACCUUUUGCAUCAUGAUCUAAUUAGCACAACCAAGCAAGACGAACUUUAAGUUUGACACCCCGAAACUAGACGAGCUACUUCAAAACAGCCCUCAUGGGCCAACCCAUCUCUGUUGCAAAAGAGUGGGAAGAUUUUCAAGUAGGGGUGAUAAACCUACCGAGCCUAGAGAUAGCUGGUUAUUCAGGAAAAGGAUGUUAGUCCAAUUUUAAACCUUCACUUAAAACCUAAUACACUCAAAGAUUUAAAACUCAUUCAAAUAAGGUACAGCCUAUUUGAAAUAGGAUACAACCUACAACACCGGGUAAUGUUCUACAUUUGUGUAACUAAGUGGGCCUAAAAGCAGCCACCUUUUAAAAAGCGUUACAGCCUUAUCACACACACCCCCCCCCCAAUUUCAAUCCAGUAUCAAAACCCCUCAUUUCCCACUGAAUGACUCCAUAUCCUUAUGGAAGACCUUAUGUUAGAACUAGUAACAAGAAUAAUUAUUCUCCUACAAAUAUGUGUAAGCCGGAAUGAACCUCUCACCGGCAUUUAUCGCCAUGAACCUACAGUAACAACUUUACAAGAAAAUAUUACUCCUUCUCACGUUAACCUUACACUAGAAUUUUUCUGGAAAGAUUAAAAAAGGAGGAAGGAACUCGGCAAAUAUCAACCCCGCCUGUUUACCAAAAACAUCGCCUUCUGCCCAUUAAUAGAAGGUCUAGCCUGCCCAGUGAUAAACUUAAACGGCCGCGGUAUUUUAACCGUGCAAAGGUAGCACAAUCACUUGUUCUCUAAAUAAGGACUAGUAUGAACGGCAUCACGAGGGUUACACUGUCUCCCCCAUUUAAUCAGUGAAACUAAUCUCCCCGUGAAGAAGCGGGGAUCAACCUAUAAGACGAGAAGACCCCAUGGAGCUUCAAACUAAGUAGCACUUGCACCACCCAAUACCAUUUAAACCCAGCAAACUUGUCUACUAGUUUUUGGUUGGGGCGACCGCGGAGCAAAACAAAACCUCCACGACGAAAGGAGUUAACCUCCUAAUCUAAGAGCCACUACCCGCAGAAUCAAAAUACUGACCUAAAUUGACCCAUACCCUUGAGCAACGAACCAAGUUACCCUGGGGAUAACAGCGCAAUCCAUUUCAAGAGCCCCUAUCGACAAAUGGGUUUACGACCUCGAUGUUGGAUCAGGGUAUCCCAGUGGUGCAGCCGCUACUAAAGGUUCGUUUGUUCAACGAUCAAAACCCUACGUGAUCUGAGUUCAGACCGGAGAAAUCCAGGUCGGUUUCUAUCUAUUAAGAGUCUCUCCUAGUACGAAAGGAUCGGAGAAACAUGGCCAAUAUAUAAACAAGCCAUUGCUACAAACUAAUGACCUCAACUGAAUUAGUAUUAGCCUAGCAGCACCCCUGAGAUAACG
rnacentral:rRNA from 1 species